rnacentral:sRNA from 1 species
AGGGUCCGAAACCAAGGCGGGCUGCCAGGUGGGGCUGGACCACGUGCUGUUCACCAGAACGGGCGUUGCCGGCCUGAGACUGGCGCGGUUGGCGAAGACAGCGAUGGCUGCUACGUGCAACUUCCACGUUCCCGGCCUGCCCUGGAGCUGACGGCGCUGACGGCUCCUGGGCCAGGAUCCGGCUCCCGGCCCGCCCAGGCCAAGCUGCUGGCUAAGAAGCGCGUGGUGCGAAUGUUGCUGGUGAUCG